rnacentral:rRNA from 1 species
UACGUAGGGGGCAAGCGUUGUCCGGAAUCAUUGGGCGUAAAGAGCGUGUAGGCGGCCAGAAAAGUCCGCUGUGAAAACUCGAGGCUCAACUUCGAGCUGUCGGUGGAAACUUUCUGGCUAGAGUCCGGAAGAGGAGAAUGGAAUUCCUGGUGUAGCGGUGAAAUGCGCAGAUAUCAGGAAGAACACCCGUGGCGAAGGCGGCAUCCUGGACCGGUAUUGACGCUGAUGCGCGAAAGCGUGGGGAGCGAACAGG